rnacentral:rRNA from 1 species
GAUGAACGCUGGCGGCGUGCCUAAUACAUGCAAGUCGAGCGAACAGACGAGGAGCUUGCUCCUCUGACGUUAGCGGCGGACGGGUGAGUAACACGUGGAUAACCUACCUAUAAGACUGGGAUAACUUCGGGAAACCGGAGCUAAUACCGGAUAAUAUAUUGAACCGCAUGGUUCAAUAGUGAAAGACGGUUUUGCUGUCACUUAUAGAUGGAUCCGCGCCGCAUUAGCUAGUUGGUAAGGUAACGGCUUACCAAGGCAACGAUGCGUAGCCGACAUGAGAGGGUGAUCGGCCACACUGGAACUGAGCCACGGUCCAGACUCCUACGGGAGGCAGCAGUAGGGAAUCUUCCGCAAUGGGCGAAAGCGUGACGGAGCAACGCCGCGUGAGUGAUGAAGGUCUUCGGAUCGUAAAACUCUGUUAUUAGGGAAGAACAAAUGUGUAAGUAACUAUGCACGUAUUGACGGUACCUAAUCAGAAAGCCACGGCUAACUACGUG